rnacentral:tRNA from 1 species
GCCCGAGUGGUGAAAUCGGUAGACACAACAGAUUUAAAAUCUGUCGACCUCUGGUCGUGCCGGUUCAAGUCCGGCCUCGGGCACCA